rnacentral:lncRNA from 13 species
CCCUGGUCUAACUAGUCUACAAGCCCAACAAUUGAUGGAUGCUGGGAAAUCAUCAAAAUGUCUCCAGCAGAAAAAUUCCCCAGGAGCAGUGGCUUUAAAAUGGUAUAUUUAAAGCGACUGGGGAACAGGGCGCGCUCUCAGAGAUGAGCGGGGUGCAGCUGAUAUCAGAGGAAGCAAGCAACACGGUCUUUGCAACGGACCUGCAAGAAUAGGCUACGUUAUGUAACCCGUCACCCAUGGGGCGCAGAUACGUGAGUGGACAGAAUAAGUUAGUGUGGCAUUGUUAAACACGAAUGAAAUUCUAUGGGACAAUAGGAGAGAGGCUAGAGAGACUUAGCCCCGUCCGGAGUGCCUGAAGUGAGACACGUUCAGACUGUGUCCUUGAAGCAGCAUGAAUAGAGAGAUCCUUUUUUUCGCGCAUCUUCUCACGGACUACAGGGAUUUAUCGGUCCGAUCAGAUUACUGUCAUAGUUAUGGCUUAAAGACACCAUGGAGGCUAGCCUAUGUGAAUGUGACAGUGAUCCGAAGGUAAUGAAUGCAUGGAGCAGUCUAAAGUGACCUUACAGGAGAGGAGAGAGGAGGCACCCGAAGUGUUCUGUCAGCAUGAAGAGGAAAGGAAAGGCAAACCAAAUAGCCAGCUAGGCUAUCUGCAUCGUAGUACAACACCAACUCUGAUAGUGCUGACUGAGACAAGGAAAUCAAGACAGAGCUUAGGCUAUUGGAAGAAUGGGGAGAUGUGGUGAGGACAUCACACCAGUUCAAACUCAGAGUUCAUUCAGAAAAGACUACUUAAUACUUUAAUCAAUUAAUAUUUUUACUUGCUAAUCAUAUAAAGAAAGCCUCAGUUCAUGAUUAUAGUGUGAUUUUUUCUGAAUUAAGUAAAAGUACCCUGGCCUUAACCAGUGGUGUAAAGUACUUCAGUAAAACAUACUUUAAAGUACUUCUUAAGUAGUAUUUGGGGUAUCUGUACUUUACUAGAAAAUAAUGUACUUUUUACCCCAUACAUUUACCCUGACAUCCAAAAGCACUCCUUAGCAGGACAGGAAAAUGGUCCAAUUCACACACUUAUCAAGAGAACCUCCCUGGUCAUCCAUACUGUCUCUGAUCUAGCCUACUCAGUAAACACAAAUGCUUUGUUUGUCAAUUAUGUCUGAGUGUUGGAGUGUGCCCCUGGCUAUAGUGAUGUUUAUUUUGCUUAAUAUAAUGAAUGUGAAAUGAUUCAUAGUUUUACUUUUGAAACAAUUAUAUUUUAGGAAUUCUAUUUACCUUUGAUAGUUAAGUAUAUUUAAUAACCAAAUACUUGUUUUACUCUGGUCGUGUUUUAUUGGGUGACUUUCACUUUUUCUUGAGUCAUUUUCCAUUAAGGUACCUUUACUUUUACUCAAGUAUGAUAAUUGGGUAGUUUUUCCACCACUGGCCUGAACCCUAAUGCUGGCACAGCUGAAUAGACUAGAGAGGUGUAAUGGUUUUGUAAUUGGUCACCUUUAGUCAACAGUAAACCGCAAUGACGACGCUCAAUGAGAAUCUCUAAUGCCAAGUCCACUUAAUUUAUUCCAUCGUCCGUCCAAUCAUUUCUUCUCACUGGUGCCUGUCUUGCUAUUGGAGCACUACACAUUUUUUAUCCUAGUACCAUUACGAAAAGACACAUUGCCCAUUUCAGCUCCUUGCCAGGCAGCCACUCCAUCUUGAUUUGGAGGGUGUGCUUCUCCUGACUCCUGCCGACGUACCUCUUAGGGCUGUGGAAUACAUUUAUCCGUAAAUGCAUUAGUUAGAAAGCAAAUCAGGUUUUUACUCCUCCCAUGCUUGCAGGGAUGCAUUCGCCAUAGUCAUCCUUUUUGAAUUAAGGCUAGCAGUCGUUAUUUUAUAUUUUCAAGACUGAACAUCAAAAUGAAAACAGUAACCAAUGCCAAACAUGGGUCACGUUCAGCGUGGCAACAUUGGCCAACAUUCAAGUUGGAAUGUAUUAUAUAGAUGAAAACAAACUUGCCAUUCUGGCAGGUAAUUAGAAGUCCCAUCAGCUCUAUUCAAGCAAUGUCUACCUACAACAUUUCACAAUGUGGCCCUGCUUUGAGAAUUCAGUCAGCUUCAUUUGGCUGUUAACUGGGUGUAGUGUGUGGAUUGUGGUUGGUCACAUGGGCCAUUCACAAAGGGUCUUAGAGUAGUAGUGCUGAUCUAGAGGAUCAGGUCCUCUAUGGCCAUUUGAAUGGCCCAUGUGACCAACCACAAUUCAUUAUGAUCAAAAAUACAAAACGGAUCCUAGAUCAGCCCUACCAGUCUGAUACUGUCACACCCUGGUCAAAGUAUUUUGUGUUUAUCUUUAUUUAUUUGGUCAGGCCAGGGUGUGGCAUGGGUUUUUGUAUGUGGUGUGUAUGUAUGGGGAUUGUAGCUAGUGGGGUGUUCUAGCUAAGUCUAUGGCUGUCUGAAGUGGUUCUCAAUCAGAGGCAGGUGUUUAUCGUUGUCUCUGAUUGGGAACCAUAUUUAGGCAGCCAUAUUCUUUGAGUUUGUCGUGGGUGAUUGUCCUUAGUGUCCUGAUGUCAUUGGUCUGUGUUAGGUUACACAAGUAUAGGCUGUUUCGGUUUUCGUUAAGUUUAUUGUUUUGAUAGUGUUUGUGUUUAGUGUGUUACUUCAUUAAACAUGGAUUGCAAUAGACACGCCGCAUUUUGGUCCGACUCUCCUUCUCAUCAAGAAAACCGUUACAGAAUCACCCACCACAAAAGGACCAAGCAGCGUGUCAACAGGCAGGAGCAGCGCGAGGAGAUG